GGCGAAAACACGCCGGUUUCUGGAUAAUUUGUAGCUUGGUGCAUGUUGCCUUUGCGGGAUAACACCUGCCCAGUUUAUCGCGAAUUUUUGGGGAAAGGGUCCCUAUACUAUACUGUAAACAUGACUAUCGCUGGAGCUCCUAGGUGGGACGAGCGGGUUUGCAUAGUGUUGUACAUUAAUUUGGUUUUCUGCAAGUGCUGACGCUUCGACCCAGGGUGGACUUGCGCCGGCUACCCUCGCGAAUGUGGUUAUUCUAAAAAUGAACGUGGUCCCUGCACUUCACUGUGUUAUGUGACUGCCUUUACAGCUGUAUGUUAUUUGUGCAUAAUUACGCUAAUCCUAAUUUGAGAAAUAGCCCACCUUAUCUAUUAUUAGCGUAUCUUUGUGUGUGUUUGUGUUCUUUCACCAGAUUUUACCCGCAUUCGCAAAAUGUUCGCCGGCAUGUUGCCUUUGACAAUUGCUGUGUCCCCGCCUCUUUCCUCUGGAUUUAACCCUUACGGACCUGUGUGCAGCAGGGUGGCGUGUGCUUGGGGAGAAAGACAUCGGCCUUUUGGGGAGAGCUGUCACCUGCUUGUGCCAAAGCUGUCCAUUUGUACAACUUCGCCCUUGUGAAGGGAUGGGGCAGACGGGGAUAGUUGGGGUUGGCUGUUCUGGGACGGUAGGGAAAAGGGUCUGUACAUGUCCUACAAAAUAAAUAUUAAAAAAGGAAA